UGGUUCUGGCAUNGAUGAAGAACGCAGCGAAAUGCGAUAAGUAGUGUGAAUUGCAGAAUUCAGUGAAUCAUCGAAUCUUUGAACGCACAUUGCGCCCCUUGGUAUUCCAUGGGGCAUGCCUGUUCGAGCGUCAUUUGUACUGUCAAGCUUUGCUUGGUGUUGGGUGUUUGUCCUCUCUAUGUUUGGACUCGCCUUAAAACAAUUGGCAGCCAGUAUAUUGGUGUAGAAGCGCAGCACAAUUUGCGACUCUAACUAAUCGUAAUUGGCAUCCACAAGCCCUUUUUAACACGCUUGACCUCGGAUCAGGUAGGGAUACCCGCUGA
rnacentral:misc_RNA from 1 species